rnacentral:rRNA from 1 species
UACGUAGGGUGCAAGCGUUAAUCGGAAUUACUGGGCGUAAAGCGUGCGCAGGCGGUUUCGUAAGUCUGUCGUGAAAUCCCCGGGCUUAACCUGGGAAUGGCGAUGGAGACUGCGAGGCUAGAGUUUGGCAGAGGGGGGUAGAGUUCCACGUGUAGCAGUGAAAUGCGUAGAGAUGUGGAGGAACACCGAUGGCGAAGGCAGCCCCCUGGGUCAAAACUGACGCUCAUGCACGAAAGCGUGGGGAGCAAACAGG